rnacentral:tRNA from 2 species
GCCCAGGUGGCGGAAUUGGUAGACGCGCUGGCUUCAGGUGCCAGUGGCCAUUAUGGUCGUGGAAGUUCGAGUCUUCUCCUGGGCACCA